ACUAACAUAUUAUGACAGAUUGCGGGAAACCGCGAUAAGGUUAACCCCGAGUGCAAGCAUCAAAAAAAAGGAUGUCCAGAUGAUUAAAAAUCAUUUGUUAGCAAGGGCCGGGCAAGACCGGUGCCAGCCGCCGCGGUAACACCGGCGGCCCGAGUGGGAGCCGUUUUUAUUGGGUCUAAAGGGUCCGUAGCCGGCUUGAUAAGUCCUUUGGGAAAUCUGGCAGCUUAACUGUCAGGCUUCUAAGGGAUACUGUCAGGCUUGGGACCGGAAGAGGUAAGGGGUACUCCAGGGGUGGGAGGGAAAUCUUGUAAUCCCUGGGGGACCAUCUGUGGGGAAGGCGCCUUACCAGAACGGGUCCGACGGUGAGGGGACGAAAGCUUUUUUGAGCAAACCGGUUUACAUACCCGGGAAGUCCUACCUGUAAAGGAUGUGCGCUAGGGGUCAAACACGGUGCGACCCCGUUUGGUGCCCCGGGGAAGCCGUUUAUUGAUCCACCUUGGAGGUACGGGCGCAAGGUUGAAACUUAAAGGAAUUGGCCCCCAAAGGGCGAAUUCGCGGCCGCAUAAUUCAGUUCGCGCUAUAAAGAGUCGAAUUACAAUUCACUGGCCGCCUUUUUACAA
rnacentral:rRNA from 1 species